rnacentral:rRNA from 1 species
AGUGGAAGCGUCUGGAAAGGCGCGCGAUACAGGGUGACAGCCCCGUACACAAAAGCGCAUGUGCUGUGAGCUCGAUGAGUAGGGCGGGACACGUGGUAUCCUGUCUGAAUAUGGGGGGACCAUCCUCCAAGGCUAAAUACUCCUGACUGACCGAUAGUGAACCAGUACCGUGAGGGAAAGGCGAAAAGAACCCCGGCGAGGGGAGUGAAAAAGAACCUGAAACCGUGUACGUACAAGCAGUGGGAGCCCCACCACUAAGCCAGUGGUGAACUCCACAUCCGCAUCCUUUGCUGAGGAUACGGUUAACGGAGCGAAAGCGACGUUCAACCGCAAAACAAGCAGAGGGGGCUUAGUGGUGGGGUGACUGCGUACCUUUUGUAUAAUGGGUCAGCGACUUAUAUUCUGUAGCAAGGUUAACCGAAUAGGGGAGCCGGAGGGAAACCGAGUCUUAAUUGGGCGUUAAGUUGCAGGGUA